UGCAUGGGGUGGCCGAUCGCCUGCCGGCCGCCAAAGGCGAGCUCCUUCUCGCAUCGGGCUGGUUACAUUACAUUGCUCGGGAAAGGCUCCUGCCUCCUUUUUUUCGCGAGCCAACACAUAUUGUGCUUUCUGCUUGCUUCUCAGGCAUCCCACAAUACACCACUCCGGAGCUCGGCUAAUGGCUAACCGCCCUCCACCGACUGCACAUUCACGGCAGCUGCAGCGCGCUGCAAAACCCCCCAGCCCGGCCGCCCCGCCGCGCCUCCCCGCCGCAAAUAAAAGCCGGCGCAUUUUUCCCCCGGCCGUGCGCGGGGGCCGGGCCCCGGGGGCCCCGCAUGCAGGACGGUGCCUGGAAUCUGCAGGCUGCAUUUACCUGGGUCAGAGUAUGGCCAGAUCACUAUUCUCCAUGUGCCGCCUCUUGGCCAAAGACAAAGCUACAGGAUUUCUCCCUCAGUUUCCCCAGCAGCAUGUCCCAUUGGCUCCAGCUUCUGUCUCAGCUGUCCUGACAGAUCACUACAAACAAUCGACCCCCUCCACUUCCCGCCAGCAGAGCCGAGACCCAAAGUCACAGUGCCAAGAACAAUAUGAAAUGAAGGAUCCUUUAUCCCCGCUAGGCUUCGUUCUGGGCUCCAGAUUGAACAUUUCCACCCCCCCUCCGCCCCACUUGUAGCUUGACACACGCAACAUCUAUGAGUGGAUGUCGGGCGCUUUCAGAAUCGUAUAUGCAAGUCCUAGCUUAGUGCACAUGGCUUUUGUAUUAAUGUUGGCCAAAAUGAUCUAUCCCACAUAUCUGAAUGUUAUUUAUAUGUUGUUCAAAUCAGAUACCUUAUUUAAAUGUAUUUGUUUAAAAAAAAAAAUGACUGACACCUUAAAUUUUAAAAUAAUCGAUACCAAAGCCUAAACACACUACAAAUUAAAAUAUGCUGCAGUGAGUCUUUUUUAAUGGCUUAAGGGGUGCUACUUUUUUUUAAUUAGUAAAGAUUUAGGUAGCCUAAAUGUUUAAAGAUGCUUUCUAAGUUGAUCUUUUAUAGAUGGGUCAUAUGGUCACAUACUACACUGAAUAAAUGUUACAUGCUUUUACAUAAGGGAUUGUUGAAGUUGGGACCAGGCAGGUUUUCUGGGGAAACGCGUGUUUGGGUCCGGCAUCUUUGACGCAAUCCCGUCUGUUUACAAAGACUGUACAGAGGCCAGAAGAUGCUCGGUGCUGAAGGGGAGGCAUGUAUGAAAAUCCCACAUGGCGCCUAUCUGAAUUUUCAAAAUACCUUUGAAGAUCUAGUCCAUGGUGACCAGAAACAUCUGUCUGCUUAUUCGCUACAGUUUGUUUACUCAAUCAGCUAAUUUUACAUGCAGAAGAUAUUUAAUUAACUUGCUUUCUUCAUUAUGUAUCUUAUUUUAGGUUUGUUUAUAUUAGAUAAACCACAUUUUAAAAUUAGUU